UACGUAGGCGGCAAGCGUUGUCCGGAUUUACUGGGCGUAAAGGGAGCGUAGGCGGAUUUUUAAGUGGGAUGUAAAAUACUCGGGCUCAACCUGAGUGCUGCAUUCCAAACUGGAGAUCUAGAGUGCAGGAGGGGAGAGUGGAAUUCCUAGUGUAGCGGUGAAAUGCGUAGAGAUUAGGAAGAGCACCAGUGGCGAAGGCGACUCUCUGGACUGUAACUGACGCUGAGGCUCGAAAGCGUGGGGAGCAAACAGG
rnacentral:rRNA from 1 species